rnacentral:rRNA from 1 species
GACGUAGGAGGCGAGCGUUGUCCGGAUUCAUUGGGCGUAAAGAGCGCGCAGGCGGCUUGGUAAGUCGGAUGUGAAAACCCGAGGCUCAACCUCGGGCGUGCAUCCGAAACUGCUCGGCUAGAGGUAGGUAGGGGAGAUCGGAAUUCCUGGUGUAGCGGUGAAAUGCGCAGAUAUCAGGAGGAACACCGGUGGCGAAGGCGGAUCUCUGGGCCGAUACUGACGCUGAGGAGCGAAAGCGUGGGGAGCAAACAGG